rnacentral:SRP_RNA from 1 species
GCCGGGCAUGGUGGUGCAUGCCUGUAGUCCCAGCUACUCUGGAAGCUGAGACAGGAGAAUCACUUGAACCCAGGAGGUAGAGGUUGCAGUGAGCUGAGACUGCACCACUGCAUUCUAGCCUGGGUGACAGAGUGAGACUCCGUCUCAA